rnacentral:rRNA from 1 species
AUGGCGCCCUUCCAAUUAGGAUUCUAUAUUGUCAUUAAUCUUUGCCAAGAUGGCUCUCCCCUUCGGAUCACCAACGUGUAUGCCCCCUGCGUCCACGGUGCCAAAGAAACCUUUCUUGCCGAGCUGGCCGGCCACGCCCCCCCUUCCCCCGUCCCUUGGGCUAUCUUAGGAGACUUUAAUCUCAUUAGGUCGCCUGAUGACCGUAGCAACGAUAACUUCUCCCGCUCUGAGGCCAAAUGGUUCAAUGACUUCAUUAACGAUCUCGCGCUCAUCGACCUUCCUCUCCGGGACCGUCGGUUCACGUGGUCUAGCCGUCAAACCUCCCCGACUCUUGCUCGCCUCGACCGGGUUCUC